UAUUGCUGGUGUGUGCAUUGAAGAGGAACAACACUAAUCCAUUCCGAACUUAGUCGUUAAACUCUUUCGAGGAUAGUUUAUCUCAUGCCAGUAAUAAGUAACAAACCUCCUAAAAAG
rnacentral:rRNA from 1 species